rnacentral:rRNA from 1 species
GGAUUAGAUACCCUGGUAGUCCUAGCCGUAAACGAUGGGCACUAGCUAGAGGUCUUCCUAUGGAUCUCUGGUGAAGCAAAUGUGUUAAGUGCCCCGCCUGGGGAGUAUGGUCGCAAGGCUAAAACUCAAAGGAAUUGACGGGGGCUCACACAAGCGGUGGAGCAUGUGGUUUAAUUCGAAGCAACGCGAAGAACCUUACCCAGGCUUGACAUGUAGGGAUUAACUCUGUGAAAGCAGAGGGAUUGCCUUCGGGUGUAACCUACACAGGUGUUGCAUGGCUGUCGUCAGCUCGUGCCG